rnacentral:lncRNA from 1 species
GAAGAACUCGUUUCCAGCCAUGUCUCCUCCAGCAAACAGAGGGUUAUGUUCUGCUGAUAGAUCACUGUGAGCCAAAGCAGCCCUGCAAAGAAAAAAACUUGAGUCCAGAAUCAUUUUUGGAAAGCAAGCUUGGCAAAAUACACGGCUGUACUACAUCAGGAAAAUGCAAAGUGGAGAGGGAAGGACACAGAUGGCAAAGGCGAUGAGCAUAGAAAUGAAUUGCAAGAACCAAGUCAGCAUGCAGAGGUGAGAGAUGGCCCCCCUGGCAUCCUCCAUCCUGACAGGCCCGAGGCACAGCCAUGAGGAGUCACGGCAGCCUCACCGGAGGAGCCCUGCAGCCACAUCUGCCAAAGAUGGACGCCUGUCUGCGGGCGGGAGCGAGGGCUCUGCAGCCAGUGUCCCUGGGGCGCCCAGGUUCCCGAUGAUUCCGAAGGAACCUGGGAAAUAAGGCUGCCAUGUAUGGAGGAUGACGUUAUCCCAGAAACAGAAGGAGAGGAAGUCCCUUCAAGAGAAUUCUUGAAGAUUUGUUUUCUCCAAGGACUGCAUGGUAUAAAGAGAUGAGCUGUUCAAACGACGUUUUCAGGAAAUGCUUUCUCAAAGGAUGAGGUGUUUGUCAUGUGGACCAGGCCAGUGAGCGCAGAGCAGGUGUGGCCCAUCCGGGGAACUUGGGGGUGGGGUGGGGGGGGCAGGUGGGUUUGGUUUAGCUGGAGCACAGGUGAAAAGUGGUAAGAGGCUGGGAGGGUUUUAACAGCGGAGUAGUAUGAUUACAUUUUUCCUUUGAGAAAGAUAACCCUGGAGGUAGUGUAGGAGAGGGGGAUGGAAUGACGGAGGCAGCAGGAGCAGGCGGGAGCCAACCGCAAUACCCUGAGUGCGACGAUGACAGCCGGAGCGGGGAGGGGCGGCAGAGAACAAGGAGUUACACUUGAUGACCCUAUAAACUGACUGGGGUUGGGAGUGAGGCGAAGGAGUCCAGGAAGGCAAGGGCCUGCUGCAAGUGACGAAAUCCUUUGAAAUGUCUUUCUCUUAAGAAGUUAUGCAAAUUUGCCUAAAAAUAUACCAGUAUUUGCAUUGUUAUGAAAAUAAUAUUUAAAGCUAGCUAAAAGACAUAAGCUUCCUUUCCAAAGUGUCGGAGAAAAAUGACCCUUCAGAAAAAUGCACCGAUGCUUCCGAUGCCCCCCCCCGCAGGGACCCCUUGUGAGAAGUGGGAGGGUCCCCCGUGAUCUGGCCGCGUCCCUCCUUCCGGCUUCCACUUUGGGCAGCCUGGUCUACCCAGCAUCAUUCCCCUAGCUCAUCAUGAAUAUUCUGCUUCUCUAGUUUUUUGCAUGUCUAAGAUUUCCUCCCGCUUCUGUCACCCAUCUUCCCAUCUUCAAGGUCCCACUGAGAUAGUCCCCUCUUCUGUACAACCUUCCCCAACCCUGUCUGGCCUCCUUCCCUCUCUCUCUGAAAUU